CCCAUCAAGCAUCAGGCUGCGAACAUUCCUUUUGAAUUCUCAACCAGGAAAUGUUAGACAGAGCAAACCAAGUAUGUUCUAUGUUUUUCAAGUGUGCCCAAGCCCACAAACCCUGAUCAAGCUUUGGCAAAUUGAUUCCAACUACCAUCCUCGUAUACAAAACCAGAAACUAAGCUAGUUGCUCUUUCACGAAUAGAAGAAUGGACGUCAACAACAUCAUAAACGAAUUUUCUGAGCUAGAUUUGAUGAUAAACACAUUCAAGAUGCUACAAUGCACAGUUGGAAUGAUAACCAGGUCUGGUAUAUAAAAGCAAAUGGAAGAAUUAACCUAGCUACAAAAUCAUAACUAGCCUCAUCCCCCCACACUGAGUCACUCUAUCAACUUUGAACAUAAACCUAACCAGAUAAAGUUACAACAGGAAUUAAUCUAGCAAAGAUGAGACUUGUCGCAUUCGGCCCAUGGGCCAGCCAAUCUACUCUUGAGGAGGUCCUUGAGGUCCACGGUCACGACCCCCAGAGUGCCCACGGCCACGGCCACGGCCACGCCCACGUCCUCGGCCUCAACCCCUUCCUCCAUCACCUUCUGCACAGGAGAUUAAUAAUAAGAUACAUUGCUUAGCGAUGAUUAAAACCAUAUUCAGAGAGAAGUUGGGCAACUGAAAAAGAAUUAUUCAAAGGAAUGCCAAAGUCAAAGCACAAUAUUAACAUCACAUUUGAGAGGUUAAAUAUUAUUAUCUGUGGUUCUGCACGUCUCUAAUGAAGUGGUUAAUUAAUAUAUCGCAUAUAUGUCAUUAAGUGAUAAAAAAAACUGGGGCCAAAAUUAAAAAAUUGAGGGCUGUUAAGUAAAAAAAUUAAACAGAACUAACCAUAUCCUUGCACAGGAGGUCCAUUAUGCUCCACGCCAUGAUACCCACCAGCUUCUUCAUUUACAUAGCCAUAGCCAUCACCACCAUAACCCCUUCCAGGCCCAAAGGCUCCACGCCUACCCCUUCCU
rnacentral:lncRNA from 1 species